rnacentral:rRNA from 1 species
GACGAACGCUGGCGGCGCGCCUAACACAUGCAAGUCGAACGAGCGAGAGAGAGCUUGCUUUCUCGAGCGAGUGGCGAACGGGUGAGUAAUGCGUGAGGAACCUGCCUCAAAGAGGGGGACAACAGUUGGAAACGACUGCUAAUACCGCAUAAGCCCACGGCUCGGCAUCGAGCAGGGGGAAAAGGAGCAAUCCGCUUUGAGAUGGCCUCGCGUCCGAUUAGCUAGUUGGUGAGGUAACGGCCCACCAGGGCGACGAUCGGUAGCCGGACUGAGAGGUUGAACGGCCACAUUGGGACUGAGACACGGCCCAGACUCCUACGGGAGGCAGCAGUGGGGAAUAUUGCACAAUGGGGGAAACCCUGAUGCAGCGACGCCGCGUGGAGGAAGAAGGUCUUCGGAUUGUAAACUCCUGUUGUUGGGGAAGAUAAUGACGGUACCCAACAAGGAAGUGACGGCUAACUACGUG